ensembl:lncRNA
GUUUAUUCUCUGCCUUUCUGCAACAACCUUGUACAUGUUUGACAUCUCCUGUUUAUCCCCUGACCAAUUCUCCAUCUCUCUUUCCCCAGAUUUUCAGCCCUGGUGCUGGUCUCCACUGCAACUUUCCUCUCCGUACUUGCUUGAGCACAGUGCUGAAGACCAGACAGUGGCUCUCCAGGCAUAUAUGUAUCUGGGUGAUGUUGUGCAGCAAGUGACAGUGUCUAGGAAACAUCCCCAGAACAUCACAAAAAUAUCUGCGCUCCUGAUUUGGGGAGAGGAUGUGCUGCAUGGCCCAGAGGAAGCUCACGAGCAUCUCUCACCUGAGGAACCAGCCACCAAAUUUGUCGACAGUUUACAUGGUACACAGGAGGCAACUCUGCCCUGGGCAGUUCUGUGGGCUCCAUGA